AGAGUUUGAUCCUGGCUCAGGGCUAACGCUGAUGGUGUGUCUAAGCCAUGCUAGUCGAGCGUACCUCAAGAGUUUUAUAAUUCUUGAGGACAGCGGCGGAUAGGUGAGUAACGCGUGAGUAACCUGCCGUCAAGUCCGGGAUAGCCUUGAGAAAUCAGGGGUAAUUCCGGAUAUUGCCAUAAGGCGUAAAGUUUUAUGGUAAAAGGUAGCCUCUCUCUGAAGCUAUCGCUAGACGAGGGGCUCGCGUCCCAUUAGCUUGUUGGUAAGGUAAAAGCUUACCAAGGCAAUGAUAGGUAGCCGGCCUGAGAGGGUGACCGGCCACGCUGGGACUGAGACAAGGCCCAGGCUCCUACGGGAGGCAGCAGGCUAGAAAUUUGUCCAAUGGACGCAAGUCUGAGACAGCGACACCAUGUGGAGGAUCUGAAGGCCUUCGGGUUGUAAACUCCUGUCAAAGAGGACGAUGCUCUGAUAACUUAACAGGUUGUUCAGAGUGACGGUACUCUUAAUAGGAAGCCACGGCUAAUUCCGUGCCAGCAGCCGCGGUAAAACGGAAGUGGCAAGCGUUGCUCGGAAUCACUGGGCGUAAAGGGGACGUAGGCGGAUAGUCAAGUUGAAUGUGAAAACCGUUUGCUUAACGAACGGCUUGCAUUCAAAACUGAUUAUCUAGAGUCUGGCAGAGGAGAGUAGAACUUCUGGUGUAGCGGUGGAAUGCGUAGAUAUCAGAAGGAAUACCGACGGCGAAGGCAGCUCUCUGGGCCAAGACUGACGCUGAGGUCCGAAAGCCAGGGUAGCGAACGGGAUUAGAUACCCCGGUAGUCCUGGCUGUAAACGAUGGGCACUUGACGUAGGCGGUAAAGUCUGCGUCGUAGCCAACGUGAUAAGUGCUCCGCCUGGGGAGUACGUUCGCAAGGAUGAAACUCAAAGGAAUUGACGGGGACCCGCACAAGCGGUGGAGGAUGUGGUUUAAUUCGAGGCAACGCGAAGAACCUUACCUGGGCUUGACAUGCAGGAAGUACAAACCUGAAACGGGGAGGACCGGUAACCAGUUCCGGAACCUGCACAGGUGCUGCAUGGCUGUCGUCAGCUCGUGCUGUGAGGUGUUGGGUUAAGUCCCGUAACGAGCGCAACCCCUUCCCCUUGUUGCCAUCAGGUUAAAAUAACGCUGGGCACUCGAGGGGAACUGCCCCGGAUAACGGGGAGGAAGGUGGGGAUGACGUCAAGUCAUCAUGGCCCUUAUGCUCAGGGCUACACACGUCCUACAAUGGCCGCCACAGAGGGUAGCGACUUCGCGAGGAGCAGCCAAUCCCUAAAAGCGGCCUCAGUUCGGAUUGCAGGUUGCAACUCACCUGCAUGAAGCUGGAAUCGCUAGUAAUCGCGGAUCAGAAUGCCGCGGUGAAUACGUUCCCGGGUCUUGUACACACCGCCCGUCACGCCAUGGAAGUCGGCAGUACCCGAAGCCAUCGACUCCUCACGGGGCGAUGUCGAAGGUAAAGCCGGUAACUGGGGCGAAGUCGUAACAAGGUAACC
rnacentral:rRNA from 1 species